GACGAACGCUGGCGGCGUGCUUAACACAUGCAAGUCGAGCGGUAAGGCCCUUUCGGGGGUACGACGAGCGGCGAACGAGUGAGUAACACGUGGGUGACCUGCCCUCAGCUCUGGGAUAAGCCUGGGAAACCGGGUCUAAUACCGGAUAUGACUCCAUGACGCAUGUUGUGGGGUGGAAAGCCUUGUGCGGCUGAGGAUGGGCCCGCGGCCUAUCAGCUUGUUGGUGGGGUGAUGGCCUACCAAGGCGACGACGGGUAGCCGGCCUGAGAGGGCGACCGGCCGACACUGGGACUGAGACACGGCCCAGACUCCUACGGGAGGCAGCAGUGGGGAAUCUUGCGCAAUGGGCGAAAGCCUGACGCAGCGACGCCGCGUGAGGGAUGACGGCCUCGGUGUAAC
rnacentral:rRNA from 1 species